UAAGUAUAAACAAAUUUGUACUGUGAAACUGCGAAUGGCUCAUUAAAUCAGUUAUAGUUUAUUUGAUGGUACCUUGCUACAUGGAUAACUGUGGUAAUUCUAGAGCUAAUACAUGCGUCAAAGCCGCGACUUCUGGAAGCGGUGUAUUUAUUAGAUAAAAAACCAACGCGGUUCGCCGCUCCCUUGGUGAUUCAUAAUAACUUCUCGAAUCGCAUGGCCUUGCGCCGGCGAUGCUUCAUUCAAAUAUCUGCCCUAUCAAGUUUAGAUGGUAGGAUAGAGGCCUACCAUGCUUUCAACGGGUAACGGGGAAUAAGGGUUCGAUUCCGGAGAGGGAGCCUGAGAAACGGCUACCACAUCCAAGGAAGGCAGCAGGCGCGCAAAUUACCCAAUCCCGACACGGGGAGGUAGUGACAAUAAAUAACAAUAUGGGGCUCAUACGGGUCCCAUAAUUGGAAUGAGUACAAUUUAAAUCCCUUAACGAGGAACAAUUGGAGGGCAAGUCUGGUGCCAGCAGCCGCGGUAAUUCCAGCUCCAAUAGCGUAUAUUAAAGUUGUUGCCGUUAAAAAGCUCGUAGUUGAACUUUCAUGGGCUCACGCGGUCUGCCUCACGGCAAGUACUGUGUGGGCUCGUGCUCCUGGGUGGUGAGCCGUCAUGUCGUUUACUCGGCGUGUCGGGGAACCACCUCUGUUACCUUGAGAAAAUUAGAGUGUUCAAAGCAGGCCUAUGCCCGAAUAUAUUAGCACGGAAUAACGAAAUCGGACUUGCGGGUUCUAUUUUGUUGGUUUCUAGAGUCGCCGUAAUGAUUGAUAGGGAUAGUUGGGGGGCAUUAGUAUUCAGUUGCUAGAGGUGAAAUUCUUGGAUUUACUGAAGACUAACUACUGCGAAAGCAUUUGCCAAGGAUGUUUUCAUUAAUCAAGAACGAAGGUUAGGGGAUCGAAAACGAUCAGAUACCGUUGUAGUCUUAACAGUAAACUAUGCCGACUAGGGAUCGGACGAACUCAUUUUUAUGUGUCGUUCGGCACCUUACGAGAAAUCAAAGUUUUUGGGUUCGGGGGGGAGUAUGGUCGCAAGGCUGAAACUUAAAGG
rnacentral:rRNA from 1 species